rnacentral:rRNA from 1 species
GAUGAACGCUAGCUACAGGCUUAACACAUGCAAGUCGAGGGGAAACGGGAGGAUAGCUUGCUAUCUUCGCAGUCGACCGGCGCACGGGCGAGUACCGCGUAUCUAACCUGCCAUCCCGCGGAGGAUAGCCUUUCGCAAGAAAGCAUAAUACUCCAUGACCGCCUACGAGGACACCUGACGAGGCACAAAGAUUGAUCGCUGGUUGAUGGGGAUGCGUCUGAUUAAGCAGCUGGGGGGGGAACGGCCCACCAAACCGACGAUCAGUAGGGGUUCUGAGAGGAAGGUCCCCCACAUUGGAACUGGGACACGGUCCAAACUCCUACGGGAGGCAGCAGUGAGGAAUAUUGGUCAAUGGACGUAAGUCUGAACCAGCCAAGUAGCGUGCAGGAUGACGGCCCUAUGGGUUGUAAACUGCUUUUAUGCGGGGGUAAAGUGAGUGACGUGUCAUUCAUUGCAAGUACCGCAAGAAUAAGGACCGGCUAAUUCCGUGCCAGCCGCCGCCGUAA